GAUGAACGCUGGCGGCGUGCCUAAUACGUGCAAGUCGAGCGAACGGACGAGAAGCUUGCUUCUCUGAUGUUAGCGGCGGACGGGUGAGUAACACGUGGAUAACCUACCUAUAAGACUGGGAUAACUUCGGGAAACCGGAGCUAAUACCGGAUAAUAUUUUGAACCGCAUGGUUCAAAAGUGAAAGACGGUCUUGCUGUCACUUAUAGAUGGAUCCCCGCUGCAUUAGCUAGUUGGUAAGGUAACGGCUUACCAAGGCAACGAUGCAUAGCCGACCUGAGAGGGUGAUCGGCCACACUGGAACUGAGACACGGUCCAGACUCCUACGGGAGGCAGCAGUAGGGAAUCUGCCGCAAUGGGCGAAAGCCUGACGGAGCAACGCCGCGUGAGUGAUGAAGGUCUUCGGAUCGUAAAACUCUGUUAUGAGGGAAGAACAUAUGUGUAAGUAACUGUGCACAGCGUGACGGUACCUAAUCAGAAAGCCACGGCUAACUACGUG
rnacentral:rRNA from 1 species